CCUACGGGAUGCUGCAGUGGGGAAUAUUGGACAAUGGGCGAAAGCCUGAUCCAGCCAUGCCGCGUGUGUGAAGAAGGCCUUCGGGUUGUAAAGCACUUUCAGUGGGGAAGAAAGCCUUGGGGCUAAUACCCUCGAGGAAGGACAUCACCCACAGAAGAAGCACCGGCUAACUCCGUGCCAGCAGCCGCGGUAAUACGGAGGGUGCGAGCGUUAAUCGGAAUUACUGGGCGUAAAGCGCGCGUAGGCGGUCUGAUAAGCCGGUUGUGAAAGCCCCGGGCUCAACCUGGGAACGGCAUCCGGAACUGUCAGGCUAGAGUGCAGGAGAGGAAGGUAGAAUUCCCGGUGUAGCGGUGAAAUGCGUAGAGAUCGGGAGGAAUACCAGUGGCGAAGGCGGCCUUCUGGACUGACACUGACGCUGAGGUGCGAAAGCGUGGGUAGCAAACAGGAUUAGAUACCCAGUAGUC
rnacentral:rRNA from 1 species